rnacentral:lncRNA from 1 species
UUGAUCGCCGUAGUGGGGUAACGACUCCUCCAUCACCCAUCUGAAAAUUCAUCGGUCUCUGCAACUCCGCUUUACGGCGUAAUAAUGUUGAUCCACUCUAAAUCAUUCAAUUCGGUUCUUAACUCCUUUAUUAGAUUUCUCAACCUACAUCGCAAAUCCCUAAUUCAUGAGACUAUAAAUAAGGAUGGGGACCUCUCCAAAUUUCACUGAUUCACGAGAUUCAAUCAUAUUCCUUCACGGCCUGCAACAUUGGUGUCAACCCUGAUCCUUCUUUCCGAUUGAAAUCCGACCGUAGUCCUUAGACGGUGGUGACGCGUCUCCUGCGUUUCUGGAAAGCACCCAACGUCCUUUCGCACUCAAGUCACGAAAGGAGAAAAGCUCAGACGAGUCAUUAUGCUUCUGCUUCAUGAAAAGGUGGAGCUCUUCAUGUCCCCUCAAUGAACAUGUUACUUUUCUAAUAUUUUGUCGCAGUCUUUAUGGUUUUAUUAUGUUGCUUCUCUAAUAUUUGUUUUACUUCCUUGAGAACAUUAUGUUGUGUAAACAUGUGAAGCAAGUGGUUAUAUUGUAAAUG